rnacentral:tRNA from 1 species
GGGUCAGUAGCUCCAAUGGUUAGAGCAUCGGUCUCCAAAACCGAGUGUUGAGGGUUCGAGUCCUUCCUGGCCUGCCA